UCCCUGGUGGCUGAGCGGUUAAGGAUCUAGCAUUGUCACUGCUAUGGCCUGGGUUCGAUCCCUGGCCCAGGAA
rnacentral:tRNA from 1 species